GAACUGCGAUAAGUAAUGUGAAUUGCAGAAUUCAGUGAAUCAUCGAAUCUUUGAACGCACCUUGCGCUCCUUGGUAUUCCUUGGAGCAUGCCUGUUUGAGUAUUAUGAAAUCUUCAAAGUAAAUCUUUUGUUAACUCAAUUGGUUUCUACUUUGGUAUUGGAGGUCUUUGCAGCUUCACACCUGCUCCUCUUUGUUCAUUAGCUGGAUCUCAGUGUUAUGCUUGGUUCCACUCGGCGUGAUAAGUUAUCUAUCGCUGAGGACACUGUAAAAGGUGGCCAAGGUAAAUGCAGAUGAACCGCUUCUAAUAGUCCAUUGACUUGGACAAUACUUUUAUGAUCUGAUCUCAAAUCAGGUAGGACUACCCGCUGAACUUAAGC
rnacentral:misc_RNA from 1 species